GCUCAGCUGCAGGACUGAACACAGAAAUCACAGCAUCAUCUCUGAGCGACAGAGAGGCCUGUUGUCAUAUCAAUCAAACACUAAACACCAUGAAUCCAGCUGAUGAGUAAAACACGCGUCAAUAGCGGAAGGCCUGUCAAGAGUUGAGGUGAUCCUGUUUACCGUAAGAUGACGGCGUUACGUAAGUUAACUGUUGUGAUUCUGGACGCGGCUUCACUACUGAUGUCAUCGCUGGAGGUGUGAAUUUGGCGACAGGAGAUCGUGUUUUCAAAAUAGCAGUACUCGGGGACGAGGUUUAUAAAAAGCGGAGCUUUCCGCUUUUUCACAUAAUACAUCGCACCAGAGGAGGACUGGGAUCACCUGUCAGCAUUUUGACAGCCUGGAGAAGAGGUGUUAGAAGAAGUGACUCUGACUGCUGCUUAUCUGUUUGUUCUAAUUCCUUCUGUAACAAAAGUGAAGGUACAGGCAAAUUACCAUCAGGAAAGUCAAUGUGUAAAAGAGACUUUAGCUAUGACAGUAUUUGGUCUGGAGAACAGCUUUGGAAAUCUUGAAAACAAUGAGUUCUGAGUUAUUUUAAUGAACCAUCACACAUUGGAAUAAGACAAUGUCUGCUCCCACGUUAUAUUGUCCCUAAUAUACCUGUUUACUUACUUUGUAACUAGAUGUGUACGUAGUAUGCAACCACACUGUAAGUGCACAUUGGUACAUAGUAUUUACAGCUGUAAUAUUUCUGUAACUACAUACAUGUAACAAAUGUAACAACAGGACAUUGGUAACAACACAUUUUUUCACUUCACUAAGUACUCAUGUAACAGGAAUUAUAUAACUACCUUUUGUAACAAUGAUAAGUAUAAGGUUAAUUGGAACCAUUUGAUCCAUUGGGUG